GAAAGCUGUUAGAGACAGAUGCCUGCAAAAAGCUGUCAUGUUGACCAUCCAAAUUGUCUUCUAUGCCCAGCCGGAUGGCCUCAGCGAUUUCCACCUCAUCUGCAAUAGCCAUCAGACGACGACGCAUCCUGGCUUGGGUAGAGAAAACAAUGGAGGAAAAAGACGUAAUGAAAUGUGACGCAAAUCAAAUCUAAGCACCUAAUUUUUGAGACCAGUUACAAAUGACAGCAUGCGAUGGAAGGAGGAAGACAAAGGCUGGGCUGAGAGAGCUCCAAAUGGGUGUAAUGGCAGAGGCACAAGGGUGAGUCCAUGCUUCCUUACCACCUGAGACCGGCUGGAUGUGAAGAGGUACGGGGGAGACUCUCUUUCUCCUCACUCCUGGAGAUUCAGAUUUCACUGUGCGGCCCGCCGGGGAGCUGCCAGGAGAAGGACUGCGGCGGCCCUUGGGAGCUGGUGAAGCGGUGCUUGCCUGGCUUUCUCCUGGAGACUCAGCUGCCAAGCUGGAGAAGAUUCAUACUAUUCUUUUCUUCACACCCACGAACUUGGGAGAUCUACCAGGCCUAAUGUAAACUAGUUUCUGAGAACCACUGUUUACAGAGGGAGUUUAAGACCAAUAUGGUCCCAUUUCUCAUUUCUUCCUCUCCAAAAAAAAACCCACGGAAGCUUCAAAAACUUUUAAUCCUGAGGCUUGUAUUCUUUUGAUAGUCACUGCUAAAAAUUCCAGUUUAUCCCCCACUUUGUUGUGUCCUUGAUACCUGAUGAAGAACCUUUAGAAACCUUUGAGAAAAAUGGGACAUAUAAGCAUCCUCUUCCUGAACUGUUGAUCACAGAUUAGUAAGCAAGGAAAAGGAUACUAAUACUUUAUAGUAUCGGGUAAAUGUCUAUUUCGUUUUAAGAAUUCCCCUUUGUGCUACACGACAAAUCUAGGGUUGUGUCUAAAUGACAACCAAUGGAUAAGUAUAGGGGGCUUUUACAAUACGUUACAGAAGUAGACUGGAACUCCCUACACCACUACUGGGGACAGCUUCCCACAAAGCACUGUCUCCUGUCCUCAGUCUAAGAGCACUAGUACAUAGUCCAUGGCACAAAGCAGGUAUUGGGGGGUGGGGGGAGGGAUGGCUGUUCCUUAACCAUUUUGCUUUUCAUCAAAAAGAUCCCAAAUCAAUGUUAUAUGGAGGCUCUGGUGUAUGCUUUUCUUUGGAACUUUCUCCAAUGGGUGUGUUAACUACAUUUUUACUAAGUCAAUUAUUUUUCAAAAAGCAUGGCAGUUCAGUUUGAGUAUUCUUUUAAGAGAUCAAAUGAGUACGGCUAGUAAUUGGAAGACUGGACUGUUACUGUAUAUAUUCCUCUUUUUUUUUUAAUUUUUUUUUUCAACGUUUAUUUAUUUUUGGGACAGAGAGAGACAGAGCAUGAACGGGGGAGGGGCAGAGAGAGAGGGAGACACAGAAUCGGAAACAGGCUCCAGGCUCUGAGCCAUCAGCUCAGAGCCCGACGCGGGGCUCGAACUCACGGACCGCGAGAUCGUGACCUGGCUGAAGUCGGACGCUUAACCGACUGCGCCACCCAGGCGCCGGCGCCCCAAUAUAUUCCUCUCUUUUAAGAAAAGUUGGCUUACAGUUAAAAAUGUAACAAUCUGAGUGAAUACCAUCUAUGUUGAUAAAAAACCCUUGGGCUAUUUUCACUGUUCCCAGAUUAAUGGAGGAGAGUAUGAUAUAGCACCAAAUUAGAGCACAAAGCCCUCUUACAUCCUUUGCUAGGAGAAUGAUUUCUUUCAAAUGCCGCAGAACAGAUGAUACUAUUUCUAUAGUACUACUUCCUUCUAGCUGGUGGAAAGGCAUGUUAACUGGGAUGCUCAAAAUGAGGAAGAAUGACUUCCUAAUAAAUGUUGCUUUUCUUCUUUAUGCUUUUAAUGCUAGAAACCCACUCUGUUCAAUGAAUGUUGGCAUGUCUACUACAUGUAAGCUCUGGUCUAAGCAUCAGAUACACAAAAUGGGAUAAAGAAACAAAAGAUAAAUAAGACAGGACCGCUAUCCCUCCAGGUGCUUAGUCUAGCACUUUCUCUAUGGUAAAGAAAAUAUGAGGCCAUCUCUGCAACAAUAGAAGUAUUUUAACAUACCAUAAAUAGUUGCAAGGAUGGAGUGGAUCUCCAUCCCUUAAAUUUAUCUAGGGGAAUCCUGGAAAGAUCCACAGAGAAGGUAACACCUGAAUAAUUUUAAAGGAAAGAGAAGGACUGGCAUGGAGUUGAUUAAGGCUGAAAGAUUUUCUAGACAAAAGAUCUAACUUUGGUGAAAAUAAUGUUCUAUAAAAUACUAAACAGUUUAUAACCCUACUGUUAGGAAAUAUUAGAUAAAAUGAAAUUAAAUGAGUUUACUUAAAGACCUAUGUGCAUCUUAAUUUUCCAAGAGGGGUGAAAAAAGAAGAUACACAGCAUUCCUCACAUUGGCACAGAAGCCCCUUUUAGCAGAACACCUUUGGUAGAGUAGUGGUUCUUGGUAUAUAUUGUGAGAAAUCUGUACUGAAUCAUCUAUAUAGUCCCUUUUGGCUCAAAUAAGUCAAUAUAUCUAAGAAGAAAAAUCUAGAGAAGAAACUAAAACUAGCUGUCUUACUAUCUUAAUGUAAGACUUCUCAAGCUAUCAUAAAAUUCAGCAUGUCUUUAGAGCAACUAAGGCUCUAAGAUUUCAAAAUAUGGGGAAUAAGAUUAUUUGACAGCCAGCUAGAGAGAUGGGUAAAAUCACCUGAUGUGAACCCAUCCUAAGAGAAGUGGGUGUCAGACAUGCAAACUUGGACUAAUCUAACUACUAGCAGAGGCCAGAGUUUGUCACUAAGAUUUGCCCCUGUCUACUCACUCUCUGCCAAGGACUUAGGUCUUGGGUAAACGUAAGACACCAGCCAAAAGGGGAAAAAAAAAACCAACAAAAAACAAAAACAAAACCUGGACAAGCCAUUUUCUCUAAU